CCUACGGGGUGCAGCAGUGAGGAAUAUUGGUCAAUGGACGAGAGUCUGAACCAGCCAAGUAGCGUGAAGGCUGACUGCCCUAUGGGUUGUAAACUUCUUUUAUAAAGGAAUAAAACGAGGCACGUGUGCCUUUUUGCAUGUACUUUAUGAAUAAGGAUCGGCUAACUCCGUGCCAGCAGCCGCGGUAAUACGGAGGAUCCGAGCGUUAUCCGGAUUUAUUUGGUUUAACGGGAGCGUAGAUGGGUUGUUAAGUCAGUUGUGAAAGUUUUCGGCUCAACCGUAAAAUUGCAAUUGAUACUGGCAGUCUUGAGUACAGUUGAGGUAAGCGGAAUUCGUGGUGUAGCGGUGAAAUGCUUAGAGAUCACGAAGAACCCCGAUUGCGAAGGCAGCUUACUAAACUGUGACUGACAUUGAUGCUCGAAAGUGUGGGUAUCAAACAGGAUUAGAUACCCGGGUAGUC
rnacentral:rRNA from 1 species